AAAGAUCGAUAUCGAGGGAGUACGAUGCCCUAGAGAAUUCCUGCUCAUGUGGGCAGCGUGUACCGUGUACAGUCUGAAGUCCCCUCACCUCAACAAACUGCCACUCCGACGUGCAGGUAUCAUUCU
rnacentral:ncRNA from 1 species